rnacentral:rRNA from 1 species
ACACAACUCUCGACAACGGAUAUCUUGGCUCUUGCAUCGAUGAAGAACGUAGCAAAAUGCGAUACGUGGUGUGAAUUGCAGAAUCCCGUGAACCAUCGAGUUUUUGAACGCAAGUUGCGCCCAAAGCCUUUUGGCCGAGGGCACGUCUGCCUGGGUGUCGCAA